UGUUUUGAUUGGGAAAUUUGUACAAGAAUAUGUUGAUUUCAUUUCUGCUGGUCGUGCACUCGGUGCAGUUGUUUUGAUCCAACUUGCCAGAGUAAAAAAUUACCCAGGAAAUUCCAAUAGAUAUAUAUGUGCUGGAAUGGAGCCAACCAGAAUUUUGUAUCAACCAACUCUUUGAAGAACCUCUGAUGAUCAAGUAGCGCUCCUAGCUAUCGUCUGAACGUGAACAAAAUAACUGCCCUUAUUUUGUUAAUAAAUCUCGACAAAUGCACGGCAGCAUCAUCUCCAUGAAGUAUCUAUGGAGAUAUUUAGGUUGCAUGGUCUGAAAUAUGGAAUACAUAAUUCCUUUUUCAUUUAUAUUAUGAAAAGUUGUUUUGUUUGUUAA